UUUCCGUAGGUGAACCUGCGGAAGGAUCAUUCAUAAUAAAGUGUUUUAUGGCACUUUUUAAAAAUCCAUAUCCACCUUGUGUGCAAUGUUAGAUCUCGUCAAUCUUGGCGAGAUUUUUAUACAUCAACUCAUUCUUUAACUAAUUUGUCUGAAAAAUAUUAUGAAUACUUAAUUCAAAAUACAACUUUCAACAACGGAUCUCUUGGCUCUCGAAUCGAUGAAGAACGCAGC
rnacentral:misc_RNA from 1 species